GCGCCUGUGGCUCAAAGGAGUAGAGCACCGGCCCCAUGUGCCGGAGGUGGCAGGUUCAAACCCAGCCCUGGCCA
rfam:Otolemur garnettii contig161049, whole genome shotgun sequence.